rnacentral:tRNA from 1 species
UCUAAAAUGGCAGAAAUAAUGCAGUGUAUUUAAACUCCACUUAUAAAGACAUAACUUUUUUUAGAA